rnacentral:rRNA from 1 species
GACGUAGGGUGCAAGCGUUGUCCGGAUUUAUUGGGCGUAAAGAGCUCGUAGGCGGCUUGUUGCGUCGACUGUGAAAACCCGCGGCUUAACCGCGGGCUUGCAGUUGAUACGGGCAGGCUAGAGUUCGGUAGGGGAGACUGGAAUUCCUGGUGUAGCGGUGAAAUGCGCAGGUAUCAGGAGGAACACCGGUGGCGAAGGCGGGUCUCUGGGCCGAUACCGACGCUGAGGAGCGAAAGCGUGGGGAGCGAACAGG